rnacentral:lncRNA from 1 species
AGUCUGCCUGAUCUCCAGCGCCACUAAUAGUGCGUGGCUGUCAGGCUGACGCCACAGGCCUGAAGUCUCAGGACCACAAAAGGAGGAUCACCCAUCUGAGGCCUUCCUGGUCUUCACAAUGAGUUUCAGGGCUCUCCUGUACUUCUUUUUCAGGGGCCAUCGCUCUACAGUCAAUGUAGAAAAUUGGAGCAUCACAGUGUCAGAUCAUUCCCACGCUAUCAAACCAAAUAUGACCAGGCAAGAAACAGAACGGAAAUGGAGAGGAGAGCCCAGCAUGACUUGCGCCGUGCCAAAGGAAUACGUAAACGUCUACUCUUGAGCCUUCCAGUGGCCACUGGUACCUUUGGACCUUGAGCUGGAGCUGCAGCCUAGAGUUAUUAUUUAGCUUUGCCCUUUGUCUUUGGUGCAGAAGGGGUGAUGCCUGACCUACACACCCGGCAAUACCAGAAGUUUCACUACCUUCCGUUGGUAAACGCUUCAGGGAAGGCUCUGCAACCCUGAACGUGUUUUAUUGUAGAACCUCACUAGGAAACUCAUCAGUAUUUAUUAAAGAUGAAUUAAAAGAAGGAGGAAAAGGAAAAACGGGAUAGUGAAGAGAAUAGAUGAAUGAAAAAGAAGCAAAGGGAAGAGAGGAGGAAGGGACAAAGAGGGCAAGAAAAGAGAAAA